rnacentral:rRNA from 1 species
UACGUAGGUGGCAAGCGUUGUCCGGAAUUAUUGGGCGUAAAGCGCGCGCAGGCGGUCCUUUAAGUCUGAUGUGAAAGCCCACGGCUCAACCGUGGAGGGUCAUUGGAAACUGGAGGACUUGAGUACAGAAGAGGAAAGCGGAAUUCCACGUGUAGCGGUGAAAUGCGUAGAGAUGUGGAGGAACACCAGUGGCGAAGGCGAUCAUCUGGACCACAACUGACGCUGAGGCGCGAAAGCGUGGGGAGCAAACAGG